CGCCAGACUCCUACGGGAGGCAGCAGUGGGGGAUAUUGCACAAUGGGGGAAACCCUGAUGCAGCGACGCCGCGUGGGCGAAGAAGUAUUUCGGUAUGUAAAGCCCUAUCAGCAGGGAAGAAGAAAUGACGGUACCUGAGUAAGAAGCACCGGCUAAAUACGUGCCAGCAGCCGCGGUAAUACGUAUGGUGCAAGCGUUAUCCGGAUUUACUGGGUGUAAAGGGAGCGCAGGCGGCACGGCAAGCCUGAUGUGAAAGCCCGCGGCCCAACCGCGGGACUGCAUUUGGAACUGUAAGGCUAGAGUGUCGGAGAGGCAGGCGGAAUUCCUAGUGUAGCGGCGAAAUGCGUAGAUAUUAGGAGGAACACCGGCGGCGAAGGCGGCCUGCUGGACCGUAACUGACGUUGAGGCUCGAAAGCGUGGGGAGCAAACAGGAUUAGAUACCCGCGUA
rnacentral:rRNA from 1 species